rnacentral:rRNA from 1 species
AGUGAACGCUGGCGGUAGGCCUAACACAUGCAAGUCGAACGGCAGCACAGUAAGAGCUUGCUCUUACGGGUGGCGAGUGGCGGACGGGUGAGGAAUACAUCGGAAUCUACUUUUUCGUGGGGGAUAACGUAGGGAAACUUACGCUAAUACCGCAUACGACCUACGGGUGAAAGCAGGGGAUCUUCGGACCUUGCGCGAUUGAAUGAGCCGAUGUCGGAUUAGCUAGUUGGCGGGGUAAAGGCCCACCAAGGCGACGAUCCGUAGCUGGUCUGAGAGGAUGAUCAGCCAAACUGGAACUGAGACACGGUCCCGACUCCUACGGGAGGCAGCAGUGGGGAAUAUUGGACAAUGGGCGGAAGCCUGAUCCAGCCAUACCGCGUGGGUGAAGAAGGCCUUCGGGUUGUAAAGCCCUUUUGUUGGGAAAGAAAAGCAGCAGGUUAAUACCCCGCUGUUCUGACGGUACCCAAAGAAUAAGCACCGGCUAACUUCGUG